rnacentral:rRNA from 1 species
CCGGGGGGGGUGCUAUACAUGCAGUCGAGCGGACAGAUGGGAGCUUGCUCCCUGAUGUUAGCGGCGGACGGGUGAGUAACACGUGGGUAACCUGCCUGUAAGACUGGGAUAACUCCGGGAAACCGGGGCUAAUACCGGAUGGUUGUCUGAACCGCAUGGUUCAGACAUAAAAGGUGGCUUCGGCUACCACUUACAGAUGGACCCGCGGCGCAUUAGCUAGUUGGUGAGGUAACGGCUCACCAAGGCGACGAUGCGUAGCCGACCUGAGAGGGUGAUCGGCCACACUGGGACUGAGACACGGCCCAGACUCCUACGGGAGGCAGCAGUAGGGAAUCUUCCGCAAUGGACGAAAGUCUGACGGAGCAACGCCGCGUGAGUGAUGAAGGUUUUCGGAUCGUAAAGCUCUGUUGUUAGGGAAGAACAAGUGCCGUUCAAAUAGGGCGGCACCUUGACGGUACCUAACCAGAAAGCCACGGCUAACUACGUGCCAGCAGCCGCGGUAAUACGUAGGUGGCAAGCGUUGUCCGGAAUUAUUGGGCGUAAAGGGCUCGCAGGCGGUUUCUUAAGUCUGAUGUGAAAGCCCCCGGCUCAACCGGGGAGGGUCAUUGGAAACUGGGGAACUUGAGUGCAGAAGAGGAGAGUGGAAUUCCACGUGUAGCGGUGAAAUGCGUAGAGAUGUGGAGGAACACCAGUGGCGAAG